GUAGGGAAUAUUGCACAAUGGGCGAAAGCCUGAUGCAGCAACGCCGCGUGCGCGAUGAAGGCCUUCGGGUCGUAAAGCGCUUUUCGGGGAGAUGAGGAAGGACAGUAUCCCCGGAAUAAGGAUCGGCUAACUACGUGCCAGCAGCCGCGGUAAAACGUAGGAUCCGAGCGUUAUCCGAAUUCACUGGGCGUAAAGCGCGUGCAGGCGGUCCGGUAAGUUGGAUGUGAAAUCUCCUGGCUCAACUGGGAGAGGACGUUCAAUACUGUCGGACUCGAGGACGGUAGAGGGAGGUAGAAUUCCCGGUGUAGUGGUGAAAUGCGUAGAUAUCGGGAGGAAUACCAGUGGCGAAGGCGGCCUCCUGGACCGUUCCUGACGCUCAGACGCGAAAGCUAGGGGAGCAAACGGGAUUAGAAACCCCAGUAGUCC
rnacentral:rRNA from 1 species